rnacentral:piRNA from 1 species
UCAAUCAGGAAGGAGGGUGCACUGCC